rnacentral:rRNA from 1 species
AUUGAACGCUGGCGGCAGGCCUAACACAUGCAAGUCGAACGAGUGGCGGACGGGUGAGUAACGUAUGGGAAACUGCCUGAUGGAGGGGGAUAACUACUGGAAACGGUAGCUAAUACCGCAUACCAUCAGAUGUGCCCAGAUGGGAUUAGCUUGUUGGUGGGGUAACGGCUCAACAAGGCGACGAUCCAUAGCUGGUCUGAGAGGAUGACAAGAGAAACUGGAACUGAGACACGGGCCAGACUCCUACGGGAGGGAGCAGUGGGGAAUAGUGCACAAGUGGCGAAAGCCUGAUGCAGCCAUGCCGCGUGUAUGAAGAAGGCCGUAGGGUUGUAAAGUACUUUCAGCGGGGAGGCGUUACCCGCAGAAUAAGCACCGGCUAAGUCCGUGCCAGCAGCCGCGGUAAUUC